rnacentral:ncRNA from 1 species
UGAAAGUUUAAAUUUAGCUUUGAAAAAUUAAGUUUUAUUUUUUUUUAUAUAUAAUAUUUAUAUUAAAGAAAAAGGUUGUAGUAAUUAGUUUUAAUUAUUAAAGAAAUUUAGAAUUAGAAAAAUAUUUAAUAUUAACAAAAUUUGUGCCAGCAGUUGCGGUUAUACAAAUAAUAUAAUUUAAUUUUAUUAAUAGUAAUUAAUUUGUUACUAUAAAAUUUAAAAUAAAAAUUUAUUAAGUGAAAUUUUAAAUUUUUGAUUAAAUUUAAGUAUUUAAUUGAAGUUAAGAAAUUUUUUUAAAAAACUAGGAUUAGAUACCCUAUUAUUAAAAAUGUAAAUUAUUUUUAUUAAAUUAUUAAUAGUUAUGUUCUUGAAAAUUAAAAAUUAUGGCGGUAUUUUAGUCUUUUCAGAGGAACCUGUUCUAUAAAUGAUAGUCCACGAUUUUAUAAAUUUUUUUUAUUAACUUAUAUAUCGUCGUAGUUAAAUAUUUUUUUAGAAUUUUUAAUGUUUAAAAUUUUUUAUUAAAAAAUUAAUCAGAUCAAGGUGUAGUAUAUAAAAAAAUUGUAAUGGGUUACAUUAAAUAUAUUUUUGAAUAAUUAAUUUUAAAUUAAUUUGAAUUUGGAUUUGAAAGUAAUUUUAAUAAAUUUAUUAAUUUGAUUAAAGCUCUAAAAUAUGCACAUAUCGCCCGUCGCUUUCAUUCAAAAUGAAAUAAGUCGUAACAAAGUAGAUUUAUUGGAAAAUGAAUCUAGAUUAAA